rnacentral:lncRNA from 1 species
UAAUGACCACAGUCGUAGUUCGCCAUUGUGGCCCCUACAGUCAAUCGUGAAUCCACUCUCGUUAGAGGGAAUGCCAAUAUCAUUCACAGGAAGUGGUUCACCAAUAGAUUCAAAUACAGAUACAUAUACAGAAAUAGAAACACCCCAGUGAUAAAGGUCAAAUGAAUUUUCAAUUAUUUCUUAUUUCUUUACUGAUUUCAAUUCACAGAUAAUCAUGAAUUCAAAACCAGUGGGAGUCCCAUCAACAUAUCAUGUCCUAACGAUGCCUUUAUAGCUGGAUU